CCUGGGAAUUUGUUACCAGUGGGGCAAAAGGGACUUUGUAUCAUAGAUGUAAUUUUACCGACCUUCAGAUGUAAGAGAGAAGCUGGGGUUGCUCAGGUGGAUUCUAUCAAGACAUAUGAGCCUUUAGAGGUCAGAGCACUUUCCUGGCAGAAUGAAGAAGCUGAGGAGAAGGGCUGUAGGAGCCGAGUCGGAGAGCUGCGAGCUUGACUAAAGUGCGCUGAGCUGUGGCUGGCAGGGAAACAAGGGGGCCUGAGUAAGGCCUCCAGGAGCUCAGGGUGAUACUCAACUGCCAGCCAGCAGGAAACCUGACUUCAGGCCUUCCACUCCAGGAAACUUUAUUCAGCCAACAGCUCGAGGGAACUUGCGAGCAGAUUCUUCCAGGGCCUUCUGACUAGAACCCAGGCUGGCUGACGUCUUGGAUCUGGCUUAAAACCUGCAGCAGAGACCAGUCAAGCUGACCCGGACUCUUCACCUACAGAAUGCUGGAUGCCUUGGAGUUCCUCCAGUGAAUACAUUCAUGUGACCAUGACAGCAGGGAAUAUCUUUGUGAAUCCAGAGGACUGACUGACCAGUAAACACCUAUCCAAAGUGACUGUUGAAUGAGACUUGAAGUAUGAGAGAGAGUUACGCAUGUGAAGAAAAGGUGAUGGGAGGAUACUUUGAGGCAUGAAGAGCAGCCAAGCAGAGUCUUCCAGCUUAUUGCCUGUUUCCCCACAGUCCAUUUGCUCCAUGAAGGCAGGAAUUAUUCUUGUUCUGUUCAUCAUGGACUCUCCAGCGUCAAGAACAUUGUUAAGAACUGAAAAGGCCGGCAAGGAAUACUUGUUCAAUGAAUAUCUAGAAUGAAUAAAAUUAUUUUACACUGUA